UCGAGAAUUUUUCACAAUGGGCGCAAGCCUGAUGGAGCGACGCCGCGUGGGGGAUGAAUGGCUUCGGCCCGUAAACCCCUGUCAUUUGCGAUCAAACGCUGUAAUUUAAAAGAUGACAGCCUGAUAGUAGCGAAAGAGGAAGGGACGGCUAACUCUGUGCCAGCAGCCGCGGUAAUACAGAGGUCCCAAGCGUUGUUCGGAUUCACUGGGCGUAAAGGGUGCGUAGGUGGCGGGGUAAGUCGGAUGUGAAAUCUCCGAGCUCAACUCGGAAAUGGCAUUGGAAACUGCUCUGCUUGAGGGUUGGAGGGGGGACUGGAAUACUUGGUGUAGCAGUGAAAUGCGUAGAUAUCAAGUGGAACACCAGUGGCGAAGGCGAGUCCCUGGACAACUCCUGACACUGAGGCACGAAAGCUAGGGGAGCAAACAGG
rnacentral:rRNA from 1 species